GAGUUUGAUCCUGGCUCAGAUUGAACGCUGGCGGCAGGCUUAACACAUGCAAGUCGAGCGGGGGAAGGUAGCUUGCUACUGGACCUAGCGGCGGACGGGUGAGUAAUGCUUAGGAAUCUGCCUAUUAGUGGGGGACAACAUUCCGAAAGGAAUGCUAAUACCGCAUACGUCCUACGGGAGAAAGCAGGGGACCUUCGGGCCUUGCGCUAAUAGAUGAGCCAAGUCGGAUUAGCUAGUUGGUGGGGUAAAGGCCUACCAAGGCGACGAUCUGUAGCGGGUCUGAGAGGAUGAUCCGCCACACUGGGACUGAGACACGGCCCAGACUCCUACGGGAGGCAGCAGUGGGGAAUAUUGGACAAUGGGGGGAACCCUGAUCCAGCCAUGCCGCGUGUGUGAAGAAGGCCUUAUGGUUGUAAAGCACUUUAAGCGAGGAGGAGGCUACUAGUAUUAAUACUACUGGAUAGUGGACGUUACUCGCAGAAUAAGCACCGGCUAACUCUGUGCCAGCAGCCGCGGUAAUACAGAGGGUGCGAGCGUUAAUCGGAUUUACUGGGCGUAAAGCGUGCGUAGGCGGCCAUUUAAGUCAAAUGUGAAAUCCCCGAGCUUAACUUGGGAAUUGCAUUCGAUACUGGAUGGCUAGAGUAUGGGAGAGGAUGGUAGAAUUCCAGGUGUAGCGGUGAAAUGCGUAGAGAUCUGGAGGAAUACCGAUGGCGAAGGCAGCCAUCUGGCCUAAUACUGACGCUGAGGUACGAAAGCAUGGGGAGCAAACAGGAUUAGAUACCCUGGUAGUCCAUGCCGUAAACGAUGUCUACUAGCCGUUGGGGCCUUUGAGGCUUUAGUGGCGCAGCUAACGCGAUAAGUAGACCGCCUGGGGAGUACGGUCGCAAGACUAAAACUCAAAUGAAUUGACGGGGGCCCGCACAAGCGGUGGAGCAUGUGGUUUAAUUCGAUGCAACGCGAAGAACCUUACCUGGCCUUGACAUACUAGAAACUUUCCAGAGAUGGAUUGGUGCCUUCGGGAAUCUAGAUACAGGUGCUGCAUGGCUGUCGUCAGCUCGUGUCGUGAGAUGUUG
rnacentral:rRNA from 1 species